UCCUAUCAUCAGCUCAGUCAGUAGAGCAUCUUAAUCUCAGGGUUGUGGGUUCGAGCCCCACUUUGGGAA